rnacentral:rRNA from 1 species
AACGAACGCUGGCGGCAUGCCUAACACAUGCAAGUCGAACGAGACCUUCGGGUCUAGUGGCGCACGGGUGCGUAACGCGUGGGAAUCUACCCUUGGGUUCGGAAUAACAGUUAGAAAUGACUGCUAAUACCGGAUGAUGACGUAAGUCCUAAGAUUUAUCGCCCAAGGAUGGGCCCGCGUAAGAUUAGCUUGUUGGUGGGGUAAUGGCCUACCAAGGAGACGACCUUUAGCUGGUCUGAGAGGAUGAUCAGCCACACUGGGACUGAUACACGGCCCAGACGCCUACGGGAGGCAGCAGUGGGGAAUAUUGGACAAUGGGCGAAAGCCUGAUCCAGCAAUGCCGCGUGAGUGAUGAAGGCCUUAGGGUUGUAAAGCUCUUUUACCAGGGAUGAUAAUGACAGUACCUGGAGAAUAAGCUCCGGCUAACUCCGUGCCAGCCGCCGCAGUAA